UCAUAUGAUGAAACUCCUUCAUUUAAUGACCCUGCUAAAUCAGCAAUUUUGCUUAUGUGGCACCCUAUUUAAUGUACAUGACACUCCCAUGAAACAUGCAUUGAGACUGACCUUAUUACAUCUCAAUUUAAGACCAUAUAUGAACUCAUAUAAAUACAUGAUAUUGAUAACACUAAUCGCAUGGUCUAUCGAUAUAGUUUACAUGAAGACUUGAAUUCAUUACUAUACAGACUAUGUUUUCCCAGUAGUUUCGAACACUAGCUGGUACAAAUUUCCAUCCAAAGCACUGUGUUAUUGAUGCUAAUAACGAAAAGAGGUAGCCUGUAGCCAUGCUCAUGUUGGCCCAGAUAUUCGGUUGACUAAAAUUGUAGCAAGUUCCUUCAACGCCAACCGAUUGGCAGCAGGUAGAGAGUGGCCUAGGCAGUUCCUGUUAACUAAUGGGCUCAGAAAUUCUUGAUGGGAGUAAAUUCAGGUCAGCACCUUUCUAUGGAGUGACCUGCAUAGUAUAUAGAAGUUCCAUAGGAAUUUAGACAUAUGUAUUCUGUACACGUACAUCAUUUGCAUUUUGCAGAAAGAUCACCUGAUAAAGAAACCAGAGCAAGCUUGUCUGAUUAUUCAGUUCUGUAGCUACUGGCUGAGGAACAUAUCACUGCCUAUCAUUGUUUGUUCCGCAGAAGAAAAGAGUAGGGGGAGUCUUCCCUUGCAACAUCUUUAUAUUCUUCAUGUUUAAGAAAAUUUAUUACAUUCUUGUAUUUCACUAUUAAGCAAUUUGGACCAAAUAGUAAUGUGGAAUAAGCACUACUUCAAUGAUUGAUUAGACCGUAUAAAGCAAGAAAGAACAUAUAUACAACUACGUUACCCAUAUGUAACUUCAAUAGGUAUUGUUUUAGCUUUAAUUAACAUAAUCAGAUAGUUCCAGUCCUAAAAUUAAGCCCACAGUUAUUGUAUCCACAGAGCAUCGGCAAAAUGGAAUAAGAAAUUGAAGAGAUAUUACAAGCGGAACCUGGAGAAGAACAUAGGGAUGGCUUGAAUAGGAUAUCAACUUGAUCUUGUCAAUAUUAUUCCUGAUGAUCUGGAACUCAUUGCCAAAUCGUCAGUAUUUAAAGAUAACCUGGCCAUAGAAACAGAGAAAAAGUUAUACAUUUAACAUAUAUAUAUAUAUCAACAUCAGUAUUCCGGUAUCCUAGUUUUUAUACUUUUCAAGAUAUGGAGAUUGUGUAAGAUGGAGUUUCAGACUUUCAGGCAUGACAUCAAGAACAUUAUUUUAGAAAAAAAAACAGAAUAAAGAAGAGAAAUAAAGUCACUGGCCAUGGAAAAUGCUAAAUAGUCAUAUGGUACACUGCAUCAUCUUCAAGAUGUUAAUGGCUUUCAACAAUCGUUAAUACACAACAAAGACUUCUGCCUGUCCAUCAGGAUACAACAAAAUGGAAUGAGAUUGAAGCAAGUCAACUUUCUUCACUUGCUCGCACAGACCAUCAUCCUAUAGAUUGAAGUAAAUCAACAAUUCAUGGAUUUUGAAAACGCCAUAAGAAACCUAGCUAAUGUACAGAAUUAUACAUGAAGCUUGGAAUUUAACAUUAAAAACCUGUUCAAAAAAUCGUGAAAUCACAUAGCUACAGAAGAAUGAAGAUUUACUAAAAGCACCUCAAUUCAUUAACACACAGGUUAGCGGUGCCGGAAUCUGGCGGCGCCCGACCAGCCUCCUACAGGGAAACAGGAAAAGGGGGAACAAGG
rnacentral:lncRNA from 1 species